UCUCCGUAGGUGAACCCGCGGAGGGAUCAUUACAGAGUUCUCGCCCUCACGGGUAGAUCUCCCACCCACUGUUAUCGUUACUGUCGUUUCUUUGGCGGGCCGCCGGGUCCCCGGCCGCCGGCGCCUAGCUGCCGGCGCGCGCCCGCCAGAGGCCUUCAAACUCUGAAUGUUAGUGUCGUCUGAGUACUAUACAAUAGUUAAAACUUUCAACAACGGAUCUCUUGGUUCUG
rnacentral:misc_RNA from 1 species